AAAAGGGGGACUAAGUAAAUAUUAAACUAAAAAAUUCGUUAUUUCGUAUGAUCGGAUUUGUAUGAUGAAAUGUUGCACUUUUAUUUGAAAACGCGCAAUGAUCUCAUAGAUAAAUAUAAAACACGUGAUAUUGAUAUUAAACGCUGUAUUAUUUGCGAAACCGUGUUCGAGAUCGCUCUGCGAGCAAAACUCUUGGUAAAAUUUAUCGAAAGGGCUCUGAAACGGCAAACGAUUCAGUGUUUUCAAUAAACCUGUUCACUAUUAAGAAUUCCAAAAUGAGAGCAUUCUGGAAAGACGUACGAAAUAUUUUUGAAGUAAUUUCCCUCAGCAUACUCUUCGGGGCCGUAUUUUUGUUGUGCUUUUUAAGAGGACCGACGCAAUCAGCACUACUGAUGGAAUAUGACGAACGAUGAUGCAAUGGACAAGGGCGAAGAAUGAAUCUGUUAUUUUUUUAUAUGUACUCAUAAACUACAUGUUUAUUAGGAAUGAAAAUUUUUAAUUUCAACAUUGUGCAAUGCAGUCAAUAAUUGUUUGUUAAUUUAAGAUUAUUGAUAAGAUAAGAAUUGUACAGGUGUGCGAGAAUUCGACUUUAAUUUCUCGGUUAGUAACAACAUUAAAUUGAUUUUGAUUAUCA